rnacentral:rRNA from 1 species
CGUAGGGGGCAAGCGUUGUCCGGAUUUAUUGGGCGUAAAGAGCGUGUAGGCGGCCAGAUAGGUCAGCUGUGAAAACUCGAGGCUCAACCUCGAGAUGUCGGCUGAAACCAUUUGGCUAGAGUCCGGAAGAGGAGAAUGGAAUUCCCGGUGUAGCGGUGAAAUGCGCAGAUAUCGGGAAGAACACCCGUGGCGAAGGCGGUUCUCUGGGACGGUACUGACGCUGAGACGCGAAAGCGUGGGGAGCGAACAGGAUUAGAUACCCUGGUAGUCCACGCCGUAAACGAUGGGAACUAGGUGUGGGCGGUGUCGACUCCGUCCGUGCCGAAGCUAACGCAUUAAGUUCCCCGCCUGGGGAGUACGGCCGCAAGGCUA